rnacentral:lncRNA from 1 species
CUUCCUGCUCUUUUCCCCUUCCUCCUUCCCGGCUAGGAUGAUACAGCAAGAAGGUCCUCACCAGAUGCAGCCCCCAACCUUGGAUUUCCCAGCCUCCAGAAGACGCCACAUCCCAGGAAAGGAAGAAACAUGCUCCAGGGCUGGAAGUUCGUCUUUGAGGGGAGGAAGUUCCCUGGAGUCUGCAGCAGAUGGGGGAGGCCCCAGUGGGGCGCACGUGGAUGCAUUUCUGGGAGGAAACCAAGUACCAUCCGCUCUCGCUCGCUCCCAUCCAGUGUUUUCUUCCCCCACUGCCAGAUGCCCACUGCCCACCACUGAUCUACUGAGCCAGGGUGUCCUGAGUGAAUAGCACCCUUAAUGGCAGGCACAGCCAUCAAGGGGGCCUGCAGUCAUAAGAUCAUAAAAAUCACAGCAGCAGCAACAACAGCAGCCAUCUUUCAUGGAGCAUCUCCAAGUGUGUGCCACACCCUUUGCAAACACUGCCAAACAACUUGCAGAUGAGAGGAUUCAAGCUAAAUGACAGAGACUGGGUCAGGAAGCUGAGGUCUGAACAUCUCUGGCAGCCCUCUUUCCUCUAAGCCCCUGCAUCCCCUGUCCAUUCUCUGUCCUAGGAGCUGACAUGAGUGUGUCUGGGUUCCUGAUCCAAGGAGUCACUUUAUACACAGUAGACAAAACCCAAAUUGCAAGUGUGAGAUGCAUACAGAAACCAAGGUGAGCCCUAGAGAAAAGCAACCGAGAUCCAAUCAGAGGGGUAAGGGGAGAAGGAGCAGAGCAAUGGGCCUGAAAAGAGGAGCAGUAAGAGCAGGCAUCCCCAGGUCCAAGACUCAGGGUAGGGUCCUUGGGGAAGGUUAGGGCUCCACGAUGCACACCUGUUCAGACAUGUCAUGGAUUUCAAGGCAACUGGGACACCAAAGUGCCAGAAAUGGAGCAAUCACUUGCAGAGCAUGUGAGCACACACACCUUAGGCAGAAGGUGGGGCUUUGCAAUGUUAUAUAUUACACAUGGACCAAGUCCAAUUUUCAAUGCACCAGGGAAAUGCACUUGUUAAAAGGUCUCUAAGAAGAAUAAAGAAAUUUAAGAUGACUAAAUAGGGCGCCAAUUUAAGACGACUAAAUAAGGAGCCACCCCACCUGUCCUGGCCUGCAAGCUCGUGUUCUCCCAAAGCAGGUCUUCCUGAAGUGGGACAGCUGGGCUGACCCUAGCUGAUAUUUUAUCAGCCCACUUCAGUUUCUGAUGAGCAGCGAACCACUGAUUAUUGCCACUGAUGGCUGCUGUGUCCUAUUUGUAGUGGUCUCGGGGGAGGAAGAUCCACAAGCGUCUUCACAAAUUCAUUUCAGCUCCUCUCCUUCUUCCAGGCUGAGGCUUCCCCUCUGCUGCCAAUCUCCCACCACCCCCCUUAAGAUGAACAGGCUGGGUCACUAUCCCCUAUAGUUCCUUUGUAGGCUAGCAAGCCAUAUGAAUUUCAUAAUUCUGCUUUUUCUUCUAACACAGGGCACCCAGGUCUACCUUAUUUUUCCUGAAAAGAGAGAACUACAGGACACAGAGCAAGGCAUUGGGGCAUAGGAAUGGCACAAGUCAGACUCCUGGGAGGGGGUUCCAGCUUUGCCACUUAUCAGUGGGAUCAGCUUGGCCUUGUGACCUGGCUGCUCUGAGCCACAGGUUUCUAAUCUGUAUAAGGUAGACAGGAGUAGCAGUUACAAUGAAGGGUUCUCAGGAUUACAGAAAAUCGUGUGCAGGGCACCUGGCAUGAGGGAGCUAUGACUACUACUGUGUCAGCCCCACAGACACAAAAUAAUCUCUUCCAUAUGGUUAGGUUUAAAUCAGGUUAACAAAUAUCCAUUGUGACCUGCGACACUAAGCCAAAGUACUGUCUGGGAAAUGAGAAUGGAAUAUUAGACAUGCUUUCUGUCUGAAAAAGCUUGUAAGUGAUUUGACAGAGACACCCAAACCCCUCUCAUCACCCCCAGCAUAAACACACACUUCCAUGCCCCUGCAGCAAGAUGGUCAGGCUAGGUUGUUGAAUGGAGGCAAAUUCUCUAGUGGAGUUUUCUUCCCUUUGGUCCUCUGAGCUCUCCAUGAGGUCUGUGGAUUGUGGCCCCCAUAGAUUUAUCUGAAAGAUCAAGCAGAGGUUCCUUACCAGAGAAUAAGAAGUGGAGUGAAGAGCGGGGAGGAGGCCACACUGACAGUAGGAACAAGCCCUACUAUCAACUAGUCACGUUCUCUGCCUUAGUCUCUGUGCUGUAUGUGCAUUCCAAUCAUUUAACUUAAUCCUGAAACAGCACUGCAAAUACUACAGUGGAUGCUGUCCUGCUUCACCCUGAUCCCCCAUCAAGAUUAAAGGACUCAUUUCCCAGCUCUUGGACCUCUCCGAACUACCCUUUAUAAAGAGAGCCAACUCACCCAAGGUCAAGCCCCACAUCCAAUGAGUCGUCAAUAAGGGGCUUUAAAGGCCUGGUCCCCCUCACCCCAAGUCAGUACCACUCUGCAGAGCCAUCCAGCUUCAGGGCUCUGCAUCACCUACGUUGCUGCUCAGUUUCUUCCUCUGUCCAACUCUACUUCCUUCUCUUCCCCAGCAGAUUCUGCUCCCAGAAACACUCCACAAUAAACUUCCUGCACACUUAUUUCCCUAUGAAGAAACAGAGGCUCAGAGAAAUUAAGUAGCUUUCCCUAGGUCAUGCAGCUUUUAAGUGAUAGAGCUGGGCUCAGACCCAUGGUUGUAUGACAAUAAGACUGUUAUUUUCAGUGCACAAGAUGAAAUCCCUCGUUAGGAAUUCAGUGGCUCAAACUCUAAAAUUCCCUGGAAGAAGUAGGAUGCAUACUUCAGACCAGUAAACAUCCAAAUGAGAUAAGUUCUUAUAGUUUAAAACAGAUUAUAACACU